rnacentral:tRNA from 1 species
GGGCCUGUGGCGGAAUUGGCAGACGCAGCGGACUUAAAAUCCGCUUCGGGGUAACCCGAGUGAGGGUUCGAAUCCCUCUGGGCCCA